rnacentral:tRNA from 1 species
GACAACAUGGUGCAGUGGUCACCACUUCAUUUCAAUUGGUCAAAGCAUGAGGUCCUUGGUUCAAAUCCGGGGUUGUCC